UCUCUUCCUCUUUUUUUUAGGGGUUUCCCUUUCCUCCUCACCCUCGUGGCCUCGUGCCCUUUUUCAGAUCAUGCCCUGUUUCUUUUUCUUUAUUCUUCGUGUCCAUUGUGUCCAUGGUUACGUAGUUGCCUUCUUUUCGCCCGAUCUUGAAGCUGAUCCCUCCAUUCGCCAUUUUCUUCGAUCUGGUGGUUUUCACCAUUUUUUUCUUCGAUCUCUCUUCUCUGACAUUCUUCCAUUAUGUUUUUUAUUUUUUAAUGGCAGCCAACAACAAGAUGCUUGUGAUUCAAAAGAUGGUGCUGGGAUUCUUGACUUGGUUUUUCCCAAGUAUCUAUUCGAUACAACAAAGGAAGUCAGUGUACUUUCUUGUGGGAAUAAAAUGCAUUUGGAAUGUGCUAAACAGAUAGAGGAUCAUUAUCAAAGAACUCAAAAUUGCUGAAUUUUGCUCACUAUAGGGUAGGGGUGGACCAGGACUGGCUGCAGAUGUUGAUGCUCAGAAGCAGGUAAGAAGCCCAACUACCCGUGGGGAUGCAACAUUUUAUCUUCCAAUUGUCCUCCCAAAAUCUAUGAAUGCUUCUUCGUCAUGGCAGGAGCUCUUGGUGGUUCUCAUACUGGUUAGGUAAAUCAAAAUGGUUUGUAGAAUCAGUCACUUAUUGGCAAUGACCCUUUAACGCAACAUUCCAUAUGCCAAUUGGCCUCCCAAAAGCUAUGAUUGCUUCUUCUGUCAUGACAGGAGCUCUUGGUGGUUCUCAGACUGGUCAGGUAAAUCAAAACAGUUUGCAAACUUGGUCAAUUAUUGGUAAUGACCCUUUAACGCAUCAUCUAGCCAACAUGUCUAGGAGUCAACUGAAUCAAGUUAUACAUGAAAUGAAGGUAAAUACUGCAAAAGAGAUGUUCACAGGAAUUAUUUUACAUGUGAAUGUAUUUCCUGUCAAUCUGGUUCCAUAUGCUUUCUAUGCAAAACAAGGACCUUAUGUCAACUUUUUCUUGUGAGCCCACAGCUUUUAAAAGCUCUCUUCCGGGUUCUCUUCAACUCCGAGCUGCUUCCAUUUAUUUGUAAAAUUACUUAAGUUUGUCCUUAAUUUCUCUUUGGGUGUAGCAACAAAUUUAACCUCCAGGCUUCAGUUUAUGGUAGUGACCUUACGUGAAUAGAAGCAGGGAAAUUGGAGGGGGGGGGGGGGGGGGGGGGAUGAUAUCCUUUGUAUAUAUAGAAGCAGAAAUAUCAUUGUUGAUCAAGCUUUUGAUGGUUAAUUUACUAUGAUUAUGAUAUAGUUUGGUCGCAAAAGCAGAAAUAUCAUUGUUGAUCAAGGUUGAAUAUGUCUAUGAUUGGGAAUUUGUGAUCGUCUUGGCUCUCAGCUCUACCAGUGUUACCCAUAGAGCGGUGUUGUGGGGACCUAUUAUGCAAGUUGGCAUGUUCUGUGGUUCAUGCAGUAGAUAAUGUGAUAUGCUUUUGGUUUUUGGUAUACGGUAUUUUACAGUUGUUCAUACCAUUAUAAGUUCUUAUGUUAAUAUUAAUUUUUUAUAUUUUAUAUAUGAUAUAUGAUAUAUGUUAAUAGUAGUACCUAGGAAUCAUCUGGAAAAAUUGAUUUACUUUUUUAUUUUAUUUUUGUGAUCAAUCUGAUCAUAUGUUAAUCUCACGUACUUAAAAUCUUCUUAUUCUGUUUGUAUUCUAUAUGAAGUUGGUGUUUUCGAAAGACUAAAAGUUCGUAUUUUCUUUUGUGAGGUGUGAUUUAAGGAUGCAACGACAUCUUUCCGACUCUUACUGCAUACCGUGCUCCAGUUUUUCAAAUACGCUUGUCUGCGUAAUCAUCUUCUUGUCGUCUUAGCUAUCAUGAAUCUGCAGCUUCAGUAGACCUUCAUACUUUAGUGUAAUCACUUAUGACCAAGCUCUGAUGGUGCAGACCCAAGUGAUGCAGACAAAGUGGUGCAGACCCAAGUGAUGCAGACCCACGUGAUGCAAAUCCAAAGUGGUGCAGACCCAAGUGAUGCAGAUCCAAAGUGGUGCAGACCCAAGUGAUGCAAACCUUCGUGAAAAUUCAUGUGGUGUAGACCCAAGUGAUGCAAAUAAAGUGGUGGUAAACUGAGUUUUAGGGAGCUAAUUGAUGAUGAUGAUGAUAUUUUUGGGUCGGAAAAGGCUCUGAUGGGGUAGACCCAAGUGAUGCAGACAAAGUGGUUCAGACCCACCAAGUGAUGCAGAUCCAAAGCGGUGCAUACCCAAGUGAUGUUGAUCCAAAUUGGUUAAACCGAAUACAUAAGCUGGAUUAUGAAUCCCCAUAAUCUAUUAUCCGGUUAUGACUCGCUCAUAUGAUUGACCGUGCCCCAACAGGAUAAUCUAUUAUACCUUGAGAGAUCUAUUUGAGUUAAAGACAAUAAUAAGUGAAUAACAAUUCAAAGAAUGGUGAGGUUAAGGAAGCAGAUGAAGCUGAUGAUAAUACCUAUUAUCUAAAUUUCUGUAAGGUUUGGAGUUUGUCUGAUUUGCUUAAUUGGUAUAGAAUUCAUAGGUUUAUUGUUUUGUUUUGUAGGUUUCUAUGUGUUUUCUCAACUGGGAUGUUGAUUAGGUUCAUAUUUCUGGUUCAUUAUGAUUUUAGCCUUUUUACACUUAUCCCAGAUUUCAAUUUCUGGGUCAUGGUCGAGAUUUUCUUUUGCAAUGUUAGACUUGUAUGGUUGUUUAGA